GCAGAUCUCCGGGCCAGCGGUGUGGGCGACCCUUAUCCAUAGCUACUCUACCCGGGAAGGGCCAGGUACCCCUCCAGCUCAUGGUGACUAAACCCACUCAACUGGCUAUGAACAUUGGUCAUCAAAGGAACCUACCGGGGUGAGCUUCUUCUCCAGCACCGUGUCUGCCUGCACGCCACUAUGUACCACCAUGAUGAUAACGGAAUGGACCUCUGAAACUGUAUUUGUUACAAGAAGGACAAAGUAGCUAAUGCAUACAUUUUGGGUUGCUACAACUGAAACUCUUCUGUGAUUCCUGCCUUAGGUGGGCCUUUCUUCCUUCAGCUGCCAGGAAAUGACUUCACUCUCACGCGCGGAAGUGUGCGUCAUCCACCAGCUCGGCACCCAUGGACCACACAGUGCCUGUUUCCAGCUACUCCUGUCUUCCUUCAGUCCUUGAGAUGAUGGAUACUGAAAUGCUCUCUCUGAAGGGCGGCACUUAACUACUAAAUGAGUUCAAUCUUCAGUCUCCUCUCCUAACAUGUGUGGAUUCUCUGGAAAUGCUUCAGUUAUGUAAAUCUGCCCCUUGUCUGUGAGUCCUCGGAAACAUUUACUAUAUAUUCCAUUCCCGGGGCUGAAAUCAAAUCACAGGUGGUAUCCUUUGUUGUUGCUGUUUUGUUUUGUUUUUGUUUUGAGACAAGGUUUCUCUGUGUAUCUUUGGCUCUCCUACAAUUCACUCUAGACCAGCCUGGCCCUGAACCCAGAGAUCUACCUGCCCUUGCCUCCCGAGUGCUGGGAUUAAAGGCAUGCACCACCACCACCCGGACACAGGUGGCAUUUUAAAGGAAAAGCCACUACAUUAUGACAUUGCUUGCUUGCUAGCUACCCAGCAGCUACACCUUGGCCUGUUUUGUUUUUUUACUUAUCAUACUUCUGGGAAUUUCUAUUAAGGCUCUGAAAGGAUUACAUACAUAUUCUACAUCUCCCCCCCCCCCACACACACACACACUUAGCUGUCCUUCAAAGGAAACUUAAUGCUAUAAGCAGCAUUUGUUGUUUUAUGGAUCUCAUUCUUAUGUCAGACUUAGGUACCUGAAAAUGCCCAGUGAUUUCUGAUUUCCAGGGCCUUGCUUCCAUUAUUCCUAUCUCCUGUCACGACACAAAUAACUGCCUCAAAGCCCAGUGGCUUAGAACAGUAAGUUGCUUGUUCAUAAAGGUGCCUGCAGUUUAGGCAGGAAUGUGAGCAGACAGGAAUGGUGUCUCAGCUGGAUGGUGCCUCCAAGAUGGCGGAUGGACAAGGUGGGCCAGGAAGCUGAGAGGAAGUGCUGGGGACAGGGAUGAGGUCUUAAUUUCCUGCAUGCAGGCCUCUCCAGGUCACUGUAGACUCUCCAUUAUGGAGAAGCUCAGUUCCAAGAGGAAGGAAACAGAAGCUGCCAGGAUUUUAGAAUGCCUGUGCUCACAACUCCAGAAUGCCCUUUUCUCUACAUUCUAUUGGGCCCAGCUCAGCUUCGAGGAGAAAACACUUAAGGCCCAUUUCUCUUUCUUUAAAAACCAAACCAAACCAGAUUUACCUUAUUUAGGUGUAUGCGUACACCAUGUGUGUGCAGGUGUUUGUAGAAGUUUGAGAGUGAGUGUUGGGUUCCUUGGGACUGGAGUUACAAGCAGUUGUGAGACCAAUGUUCUUUGCUAGUGCAUUAAAUUGCUGAGCUGUCUCGCAAGCCUUCAAAUUCCCUCUUGUGCGCGCAAUGGUGAAUUAUUUGGGAAUAUAUUGGAAGACUAGCUACCACUAUUCAUUCUUUGAUCACCAUGAAUGCCCUUCCCAUGUGGAAGCCGCUCUCCCCCACCCCCCUUAAGACAUCAUUGUAGCUCAUUCUAUCAUAAAUCAGUUUUUUAAAAAUUUCAUUUCGUGUGUUUGCCUGCAUGCAUAUCCGCGUGAAGGUGCCAGAUCGCCUGAAACUGGAGUUAUAGUUAUCAGCUGCUAUGUGGGUGCUGGGAAUUGAACCCAGGUCCUUGGGAAAACCAGCAAUGCUUUUAUACACUGAGCCAUCUCUUCAGCACUCCCCCACCAUAAAUCAGUUUUUAAUCUAUGCCAGGAAUGAUGAAACCACAGCUCAAGAGCCAAGUACAUCCUGUGGCUUAUUUUUAUAUUGCCCCUGGGAUAAGAAUGAUUUUUAUAUUUGUUAAAGGAUUAUAAAAACAAAGACUGUGUGACAGACAUUGUUAGGAUUCAGGCAUUAUGCUGGCCUGCCCUGUCAUCUGACAAGAUGUACCCAGGCAAUACGCUGGUCAGCCCAGGGUCCUACUUCAUAGGCAGGUGCAAAGGUCCCUUUAAGAGACGGCCCACUCCCAGCCUCUCUUUCCCCGCUGUUCCUCUGAAUGGGCAGGCAGGCUUUUUCCUGCUCCUUUUCUUUCUCUGUGUCCCUUCUAUCUUUCUUCCUGCCAUUCUCUCUGAGGCGGCAGCUUUCUGCCUCCCUCUUUCUGUCUGUCUCUCAUUUUCUCUUCCCUUUCCAUUUUCUUUAUAAACUCCACACUUGAACUCUGUCGGCAUGGCGUAUUUGUCACCCACCACAGUUCUCACCCGCCAUGGGACCUGCCAAGGUUUCUUUUGCGCUGUUUUGCAACAGGCGUUGCACAUAUGUCCCGUGAAGCCGAAAAUUAUUCACUCUC